UACAGAGGGUGCGAGCGUUGUCCGGAAUCACUGGGCGUAAAGGGCGCGUAGGUGGCCCGACAAGUCCGUGGUGAAAGCUCGACGCUCAACGUCGAGUCGGCCAUGGAUACUGUGGGGCUGGAGCACUGUAGAGGCUCAUGGAAUUCCGGGUGUAGCGGUGGAAUGCGUAGAGAUCCGGAAGAACACCGGUGGCGAAGGCGGUGAGCUGGGCAGUAGCUGACACUGAGGCGCGACAGCGUGGGGAGCAAACAGG
rnacentral:rRNA from 1 species